GGACUGCGCUCGGAGAAGCCGAGGUCAACUAUCUUCGGACGCGGGUUCGACUCCCGCCGUCUCCACCA
rnacentral:tRNA from 1 species